GCUUGCUUCUCUUGAGAGCGGCGGACGGGUGAGUAAUGCCUAGGAAUCUGCCUGGUAGUGGGGGAUAACGUCCGGAAACGGACGCUAAUACCGCAUACGUCCUACGGGAGAAAGCAGGGGACCUUCGGGCCUUGCGCUAUCAGAUGAGCCUAGGUCGGAUUAGCUAGUUGGUGGGGUAAUGGCUCACCAAGGCGACGAUCCGUAACUGGUCUGAGAGGAUGAUCAGUCACACUGGAACUGAGACACGGUCCAGACUCCUACGGGAGGCAGCAGUGGGGAAUAUUGGACAAUGGGCGAAAGCCUGAUCCAGCCAUGCCGCGUGUGUGAAGAAGGUCUUCGGAUUGUAAAGCACUUUAAGUUGGGAGGAAGGGCAGUAAAUUAAUACUUUGCUGUUUUGACGUUACCGACAGAAUAAGCACCGGCUAACUCUGUGCCAGCAGCCGCGGUAAUACAGAGGGUGCAAGCGUUAAUCGGAAUUACUGGGCGUAAAGCGCGCGUAGGUGGUUCGUUAAGUUGGAUGUGAAAUCCCCGGGCUCAACCUGGGAACUGCAUUCAAAACUGACGAGCUAGAGUAUGGUAGAGGGUGGUGGAAUUUCCUGUGUAGCGGUGAAAUGCGUAGAUAUAGGAAGGAACACCAGUGGCGAAGGCGACCACCUGGACUGAUACUGACACUGA
rnacentral:rRNA from 1 species